UACGUAGGGAGCAAGCGUUGUUCGGAUUUACUGGGCGUAAAGGGCGCGUAGGCGGCGCGGUAAGUCACUUGUGAAAUCUCUGAGCUUAACUCAGAACGGCCAAGUGAUACUGCAGUGCUAGAGUGCAGAAGGGGCAACUGGAAUUCUUGGUGUAGCGGUGAAAUGCGUAGAUAUCAAGAGGAACACCUGCGGCGAAAGCGGCUCUCUGGUUCACACCUGACACUGAGAUGCGAAAGCGUGGGGAGCGAACGGG
rnacentral:rRNA from 1 species